UACGGGGGGUGCGAGCGUUGUCCGGAAUCACUGGGCGUAAAGGGCGCGUAGGUGGUUUGAUAAGGGUGUGGUGAAAGUCCGGGGCUCAACCCCGGAUCUGCCGUGCCGACUGUCAAACUCGAGGGCUGUAGAGGCAGGCGGAAUUCCGGGUGUAGCGGUGGAAUGCGUAGAGAUCCGGAGGAAGACCGGUGGCGAAGGCGGCCUGCUGGGCAGUUUCUGACGCUGAGACGCGAAAGCUAGGGGAGCGAACGGG
rnacentral:rRNA from 1 species